rnacentral:rRNA from 1 species
GGACCUGACUGCUAUCGGAUUGAUAUUAAGCCAUGCGAGUCAUUGUAGCAAUACAAGGCAUACGGCUCAGUAACGCGUAGUCAACCUAACCUAUGGACGGGAAUAACCUCGGGAAACUGAGAAUAAUGCCCGAUAGAACAUUAUGCCUGGAAUGGUUUAUGUUCCAAAUGAUUUAUCGCCGUAGGAUGGGACUGCGGCCUAUCAGUUUGUUGGUGAGGUAAUGGCCCACCAAGACUAUUACAGGUACGGGCUCUGAGAGGAGUAGCCCGGAGAUGGGUACUGAGACACGGACCCAGGCCCUAUGGGGCGCAGCAGGCGAGAAAACUUUGCAAUGUGCGAAAGCACGACAAGGUUAAUCCGAGUGGUUUCUGCUAAAGAAACCUUUUGUCAGUCCUAGAAACACUGAUGAAUAAGGGGUGGGCAAGUUCUGGUGU